rnacentral:rRNA from 1 species
CCUACGGGAGACAGCAGUGAGGAAUAUUGGUCAAUGGACGAGAGUCUGAACCAGCCAAGUAGCGUGAAGGAUGACUGCCCUAUGGGUUGUAAACUUCUUUUAUAUGGGAAUAAAAUGUUCCACGUGUGGGCUUUUGUAUGUACCAUAUGAAUAAGGAUCGGCUAACUCCGUGCCAGCAGCCGCGGUAAUACGGAGGAUCCGAGCGUUAUCCGGAUUUAUUGGGUUUAAAGGGAGCGUAGGUGGAUUGUUAAGGCAGUUGUGAAAGUUUGCGGCUCAACCGUAAAAUUGCAGUUGAAACUGGCAGUCUUGAGUACAGUAGAGGUAGGCGGAAUUCGUGGUGUAGCGGUGAAAUGCUUAGAUAUCACGAAGAACUCCGAUUGCGAAGGCAGCUCACUGGACUGCAACUGACACUGAGGCUCGAAAGUGUGGGUAUCAAACAGGAUUAGAUACCCUUGUAGUC